CGACUGAUGAGAGCAGAGAUGGAAGAACACUGUAGUUUGCUGGUUUCUAGAUGAGCUGAAAGCAAACCCCAGGGUCAAGAGACCCUGCCUCAAAGGAAUAGGUGUGUCUGUCACUACGUCUGGCUUUCUCUGUGCAUUCUAAUGCCUGACUACAGAGCUCCUCACACGUUCACAGCAAGCACAUUAUAGCCUGGGCUGUCUUCCCAGCACUCCAGACACACCAACUUACUACUGCCAAUGCAGAUGUGAACACUGUCACCUGCCCCAUCCUAUUUAAUCUGUGCAAUGACAGCCCCUUGGGAAUGAUCUACUUGUGAGUUGGUGUGAUUUAAAGGUUCCCAUAUGAAAACUUCCCAGGCACGCGGUCUUCCCUGUCUUCAAACUUACCUACGGGGAGGCAGAAGCACAACUUACUAGAGUAACUGAACCCAGGAUAGCAAAAUCUCACCUAUGAUGUCCGGAUGGUGUGGAAUAUACCCCAUGUGGAAAGAGACCGAGCCUGCAGAAUGGAAAGUGCUUCUCCAGCACCCAGCACACAGAACGCCACUGUGUCUCUCCAUGCUGAGUCCUCAAAGGGACAGCUAGCAUUCCCAGGGCUCCACACACAGAUGAUGAGAG
rnacentral:lncRNA from 1 species